rnacentral:rRNA from 1 species
UACGAAGGGGGCUAGCGUUGUUCGGAAUUACUGGGCGUAAAGGCUCGUAGGCGGCCAACUAAGUCAGACGUGAAAUCCCUCGGCUUAACCGGGGAACUGCAUCUGAUACUGGAUGGCUUGAGUUUGGGAGAGGGAUGCGGAAUUCCAGGUGUAGCGGUGAAAUGCGUAGAUAUCUGGAGGAACACCGGUGGCGAAGGCGGCAUCCUGGACCAAUACUGACGCUGAGGAGCGAAAGCCAGGGGAGCAACGGG